ACAGAACAGAGAGAAGACUCUGGAUCAGGGCUGACUGAAAUCCAGGAGAUGGAGAACAGAGCAGAACCUCCAGGAUCCAGCUGUCCGUCUAUGAGGAGUGACCGGUCCAAAGAAUACUAUCCAGACUUCAGUGAAGAACCUGGACCCUCAGACUCAGAAGGUCAGAACCACAAACAGAGAGCAGAACCUCCAGGAUCCAGCUGUCCGUCUAUCAGGAGUAACUGGUCCAAAGACUGGGAUCCAGACUUCAGUGAAGAACCUGGACCCUCAGACUCAGAACCAGGACCUGGACUGCUGGCAGCCAAUCAGAGCAGC